rnacentral:rRNA from 1 species
GACGAACGCUGGCGGCGUGCUUAACACAUGCAAGUCGAACGGAAAGGCCCUGCUUUUGUGGGGUGCUCGAGUGGCGAACGGGUGAGUAACACGUGAGUAACCUGCCCUUGACUUUGGGAUAACUUCAGGAAACUGGGGCUAAUACCGGAUAGGAGCUCCUGCUGCAUGGUGGGGGUUGGAAAGUUUCGGCGGUUGGGGAUGGACUCGCGGCUUAUCAGCUUGUUGGUGGGGUAGUGGCUUACCAAGGCUUUGACGGGUAGCCGGCCUGAGAGGGUGACCGGCCACAUUGGGACUGAGAUACGGCCCAGACUCCUACGGGAGGCAGCAGUGGGGAAUAUUGCACAAUGGGCGGAAGCCUGAUGCAGCAACGCCGCGUGCGGGAUGACGGCCUUCGGGUUGUAAACCGCUUUCGCCUGUGACGAAGCGUGAGUGACGGUAAUGGGUAAAGAAGCACCGGCUAACUACGUGCCAGCAGCCGCGGUGAUACGUAGGGUGCGAGCGUUGUCCGGAUUUAUUGGGCGUAAAGGGCUCGUAGGUGGUUGAUCGCGUCGGAAGUGUAAUCUUGGGGCUUAACCCUGAGCGUGCUUUCGAUACGGGUUGACUUGAGGAAGGUAGGGGAGAAUGGAAUUCCUGGUGGAGCGGUGGAAUGCGCAGAUAUCAGGAGGAACACCAGUGGCGAAGGCGGUUCUCUGGGCCUUUCCUGACGCUGAGGAACGAAAGCGUGGGGAGCGAACAGGCUUAGAUACCCUGGUAGUCCACGCUGUAAACGGUGGGUACUAGGUGUGGGGUCCAUUCCACGGGUUCCGUGCCGUAGCUAACGCUUUAAGUACCCCGCCUGGGGAGUACGGCCGCAAGGCUAAAACUCAAAGGAAUUGACGGGGCCCCGCACAAGCGGCGGAGCAUGCGGAUUAAUUCGAUGCAACGCGUAGAACCUUACCUGGGUUUGACAUGGAUCGGGAGCGCUCAGAGAUGGGUGUGCCUCUUUUGGGGUCGGUUCACAGGUGGUGCAUGGCUGUCGUCAGCUCGUGUCGUGAGAUGUUGGGUUAAGUCCCGCAACGAGCGCAACCCUUGUUCACUGUUGCCAGCACGUUAUGGUGGGGACUCAGUGGAGACCGCCGGGGUCAACUCGGAGGAAGGUGGGGAUGACGUCAAGUCAUCAUGCCCCUUAUGUCCAGGGCUUCACGCAUGCUACAAUGGCUGGUACAGAGAGUGGCGAGCCUGUGAGGGUGAGCGAAUCUCGGAAAGCCGGUCUCAGUUCGGAUUGGGGUCUGCAACUCGACCUCAUGAAGUCGGGGUCGCUAGUAAUCGCAGAUCAGCAACGCUGCGGUGAAUACGUUCCCGGG